GCAAGCUCAUGCAAGACCCUGAGGCUGAAGUUUUAUUUGUUUGUUUUCUGAACUCAUGUUUACAAAAAAUACAAGAACAGAAAUACAAGAACAGACCAGAGAGAGAGAGUUAAGCUCAAAUGGGAGGCAAGGCCCCAUACUGUACACUCAAGUAGGGCUGUAACAUCAGGUGGGCGCUAGCCCACAAAGUGGUGAUGGAAGAGAAGUCAGAUGUUCCUACAAAGCAUCCUGAAGCCACAAUGGCUAAAAUCAUGAGAAUGAAGAUGCACAGCAUAAAGAAACCUACUCUCCAGAUCGCUGCCUCCAAAGUACCUGGGCAGCUUUGCACAAGUGAGAAGCAAGAGUGAGAAUAAUGAGUGAGAAAAUGAAACAGGAUGACUCCAUCACGUACAAAAUCCUAUCUGAGUACCUUUUAGAUUGAAGGUUAACUGUGAGAAGAUGAGGUUUCAGCAGCUCCUCAGUCUCAGGUUCCUCCUGUAGACACUGUAGCAGGCAUCAUUAAUGUAGUAUUUCUAACUCAAUUUCUCUAGUUUGUAUUUAUUUUAUUGAACUUCAUAUAGACGUCAUACAUUUCCAAGAUUUGUGGAGUUUGUCAUGCCGUCAUUCACUUCAGCUGUUGAGGCCAGCAGUUUAAUUUCCUCUGCAAAGGACAGAGGGCGGUCGGGCACUCGUUCCUUCUCUCUCAUCAGGUCACUAAAAACAGAGUGACGCAGUACAUUAUGAGCUCUCCCACUAUACUGUAUAAUCUUUUAAAGCAAGAGGAUCUGUGAGUCGGGAUUACAAUGUGGCCUCAUCUCGUCUGUCCUCCAUCUGCUUACUCAGCUCCUGCGUUGUCUGCCUGAGGUCCUGCAGCACAGACACAGGGCCAGACAGUAAAACACCUCAAAAGUUUAUAAGCCAGAAUUGUGCAACUGCCGCAAGAGUGCUGUGCAUUUAGACAUGGAGACUGUUGGACAUUUGUUCAAAUGGGCACUCUUUGUGAGCAUCGCCUAUGGACUGAUUCCAAAUGCAGUAUCACAUUUCAGAAAUCUCUGACUCUUACAUUGCAGAUGAAGUA
ensembl:lncRNA